CCGCGUAAACAGGAGGGGGCACAAUCACGGUAACAUCAAACAAUGGCGACGUCGGCUUGAAAUAUCGCUAAAUUUAGAGACGAGGACCAGACCAGUCAAUAGUUUGAUUAUCGUAUGGAGCAUAGACUACAAAUUGAUCGUUGAGAUACGAAUACACUUCAAUAUCCAGAUAAAGGGUGGAUUGCAGAAGUACUCUCUACUCGCAUGAUCAUCCGAUUAAAUAACCGACUGGCCAGCCGGUUGGUAACAGAAUGAAGAAUUGUGGGGGACUGAACUACUCUUUUCUAACCCCUUCGUCUGCGCAGUCAUAGAUACACAAAGCUGCAAUAAUACCCCUCAAAUUCCAACAAAAAAGUACGUAAACCUUGGAAAUGGUGCAGUGAAUAUGCUGAAGUUGCAGAUGAAAAGAAUCUGCCAGUGACAAGCGCAUGAAUUUGUGAAUACGCUAAACCUCCAGAACUGUAUGUCUUUCAGCUAAGCUGAUUCACAUCGCGUGCACUAUAUAUUGAUAUUCCUCAAUUGCUUCCAGCAAUUCUCAUUCAUCAGCAGCUUGAACACACCAAUGGAAAAUGAACAUACUUAGGUUAUGCCAAGCCUCAAAAGCAUAGUUGUCUUUUACAGCAUAUAAUUAAUUGUACAAUAUUUUUCUGUAGAUCCAUAAGGAUGCUGUUCACUCAUAUCAGAUAUCUUCCAAUGACAGAAGUACAAUGGCAAUCAGAGAGUAGCAAAUUUAAUACAGGCAGAAAAAUCAUCUGGUCUGAUUUGUAGACAGUACUUUGGUAAAAAAUGUACCCUCUGUGUCUAUGAUGAAUUAGCGCAUACCCAAACUAGAGAAUAGCAUGAACCUGCAGCAUCCAAUACAAUUUUCGUGUAUCAGCAAGCUAAUUUUAAUAAGAAUGAAACUAAAUUUCUCAACAUCCUCAGAUCAUGGAGCAGAAGAUGCUAGGACAUUUGCGGGUAAUCUCCAGGACCUUUACCUAUAAUCCUAGAAUUGGAAAGUGCAAAAGGCAGAACUUAAGAAAGUUGGCUUUAUGAGCAGUCCAUUUUGGAAUGAACAUAGUAGAAAGGUUUAAAACUUUAAAAAAGAUCAGUAAAUUUGAAGAUGCAAGAAUGAAAAAUAAUUGAUGUAAAAAAAAAAAAAAAGAAUAACAGAAAAGCCUUCAUUCUUGAGAAUUUCCUGUCAUUCCUUUCCAAGCUUGUUACCUACAAGGGCAUGCUUGGUAUGUCUUGGAAACGGAUGCCCAUAUCCCAAGAAUCCUAUAUCAAGUUUUCCUUUUAAAAAACAACUAAAUAAAAUUAAAUGAUAAUCUUAAUACAGUUAAAAGUAGAUGCUAUUUCAACAUAAAUUCUAAAUAAGUACCAUAAAAAUUUGGAUUCCUGUGAAUUGCAUUAUCAACAUUCAGUCUUCUUUCUAAUAAUAUUAUGCUCCAUGAGAAAUUAUCUUGAAGUCUACCAAAUGCAAAAAAUAUCAGCUCCUAAAUUCAAACUGCUCCUCCUUCAAAAAUUCAGAGCAUCACUCAUGAUGCAUCCAAAUUUCUGGAUAAUUUAGCCUUCUCCAUAGCAUUCUGACAAUUCUAGUGCAGCAAGUUUUUCAACUCCCACCCUUAGCUUUCUCAUCUGAACCCCUUAUCAUCUUUAUUGCCACCCAUAAUGCCAAAUAUGAAGCUACAAUGCACUCUAAAGAAGCAUCUUAAACACUUUCAAGUCAUGUCGCAGACACUUCAACAUGAAAUAUUACACAAUUAUGAGAUAUGAAGACUACCUGAGAUGCUGAAUAUAGUUGCAAAGACCCCUUCCUCCAAUUUGGCAGUCUUUCAUUACCAAGGAGACAACAACAAACUAACUACUCAAAACUCACAUAUUUAUCUUUCAGAUACUGUCAAAUUUGUUUGGUUCAAGGAUUCUGAUUCACUGUUCACCUCGCUCUCUAACUGGCCAUCUAAAAUUUGCAAAACAUUCUCUGGUGGGCAUUUAUCAGCAGGAUUCUGUGUAUCUGUUUGGCAGAAACAUUCAGGCCAAGAAUUUGUAUAAAAUGAUUCAGGUGAAAUUCGCUUGUGAGGACCUCCAAAGUUUGUUUUGAGCAUGACACGCCUAACAGCUUCUUCAAAACCAUCUGUACGACCAUUCUCUCGAUCAAUGAAAACAGGGGCAAGACCUUUCCUGUCAGGUCUAAUAGUAGUCCGGAAGCCAUAAUAAAGGCGGUGACCUAGGAGAUUGUUGGCAAAAUUGCUUGGUCCAU
rnacentral:misc_RNA from 1 species